UUCUGGGAUGAUAAAAUGAGGCAUAUCCUGCACCACUACAUGUGUCCAUACAUGAUCUGAGCAGGAAGAGCAGUGGACAAGGAGUCUGGAAUGCUGGCUCAAGUUCUGAGUCAGCCACAGCCUGCUGUGUGACUCUGAGUGAGUCACUAAGCUUCCCUGGAUUCAGUUUCCUCAACAGUCAAAUUUCUAUGGCCUUUUGGGCACCACCAUGCAUGAGAACACAAAGAGAGCAUGAUUACUCAGGGGUGUGUGCAUGUGUGAGGUUGAUUUCUUUAGGUCCCCACCACCCACCAUGAGAUUGGACAAGUCUAGUGGGAAGUGGUCUAGAGGUGAUGGAUCUUCUAGGAUUGCAAUCAGAGCUGGCUUCAUGAGUGUGCACAGGGGUCCCACACAUGAAUGAGUUAAUAGUGUUUGAACAAGGGAUUAGAUAGAUCAAACAAGGCAAGGAGAACUCAAGAAAGUCUGGUCACUUCAGUGAGUGUUGGUGUGUGAGGAGAAUCAAGUGAGAAGUGCUUUUAGAAACAUCCAUGCAGGGAUCGGACCAUGGCAGGCACACUCAGCAAAGUCCCCCAUGAUCCAGAAGACAUGUGCGAAUUCUGCAUCAUCUUCCCCUCCAUAAUCCUGAGGACAGUGAGAGCCAAGGAUUGCUUAGCCACACAGGUGUAGCAGUGGGGGAAGCAGAAAGCUAGAUGAAUCCAUGGAUGGAAUUUUUCAGGAGAGUAACAUAGGGCAUGAAGGUGAGAGAACCGAGUGUGCUGGAAAGAGGAUGAUUAUUUGGGGAUGGUAGUUGCUUAUUCUUUCUCUCCCUCAUGCACAGCCUCAGGCACAUGGCUUGAGCUAUGGCGGCACGCAGUAUGGCCAUCACCCAGGCCCAUCAAUGAGAGAGACAACAUUUAGAUAGGAGUACUGGACAUUUGAAAAUUCUUACACCCUGUGAUGUGACAUGGAGAAGUGACCAACACAACUUUGCCAACUAUACUCCAUUCUUAGUAACUGCCGAUUAGGAAGGAUUUCUUUCUAAGUCUGUCACUAAUUCAACUGUUAUUCACAAGAGAAGUAGAGGCAAAUGAUAGCAGCUUGAUCGUUGAUUUUUGAUUUAGAUGAUCAAUGAUGUUCAGAAUAGUGUUUGUAUGUGUGAGCAUGGAUGUGUAUGUCGUGUGUGUGUCUGUGUAUGUGGUGUGUGUGUCUGUGUAUAUUGUGUGUGUGUGUGUGCAUGCGUGUGUGCAGGGUAGGUAUCACCACAUUCCCUGUGGUGGUGUGUCUCUUCUCUGGGAUUGG
rnacentral:lncRNA from 10 species